UGUCUUCAUUCAUAACCUGCUCAUUUACUGGGGUUGUGUUGUGUGCUCACAUUUCUGUGUGAAUAUUUAAGUCAUUUCUUAUUCAAUAGUUUGAAGAAUACAAGUCAAAUAUUUGAGUAUAAAUUGCAGGCUGCCAUCCUGUUAUUGUUGAACAGUAUUUGUGUCAUCAUCACUCGGAAGUCCAACAGGAAAGAAAACGGAUUCUGUAAAUAGCCUGAAGUAAACGGUUUAUUCAAGGUUUGUGUCAGGGUUGCGGAACUGGUGGCAGUGAAGUCAGACGCAGGAGAGCAGAGAUAGGCAGACGCUGGGCUAGUCUGAGAACUCACAGCCGCAGACAUGAUCAUCAGACUGGGAUGCCUGACCCUUGGAUCCUUUCGUCUC